GCUUUCGUAGCUCAAUUGGUCAGAGCAUCCGACUUUUAAACAAGAUUAUCUUGUUAAAGUCGAUCGGAAGGCUGUGGGUUCGAGUCCCACCGAUAGCG
rnacentral:tRNA from 1 species